UUCUCCUGUGCAUCAGAUGGGGACCAGUUAGGGGCCAGCCAGCAGCUACUCCUCAAGAGAAGCUGAGUCUGGUUUUGUGGCCUGACUGGUCUGUGAAUCUGCGUGUUCAAUAAGGAAAAUACACCUCCUGCUAAUUUCAUCUUGCCAUGGAGCCAGCUGACCCAGAAAUCACAUGGAUAAGUGACCCCAGUGGCUGUAGCUGUGCUCCCAGCUGUGCAUUGCUGGAGGUUUUUGGUCCACCAUGGGGACAAAGAUGAAAUAUAGGUACUGCUGAUACAGUGCUGAAGGCUGCUAUCAAGGUUAUCUUUGUUGAUUCUCAGUUAUUUAAUUGCAGGUAUGUGAAUGGUCGUGCUUUAAUGGCUGCUCCGUAUUAUUACAAGCCAAGAUAACACACAAGACAGCACGGUUGCUGACACUAUGAUAAUGGCCAAAUCUGACCAAGAGAGGGAUGGACCACACAGCGCCAGCAGCUCAAAGGCACAUGGAGUAAAGAAACAACAAAAAACCCAACCCUUAAACAAGUAGCAAGAAAAAGCCCUUGAAGACAACACAUCCAUUAAGGCCUGACCUGCAGAGUGCUCUACUUCUAGUGGUAUUCAUUUCAGUAUUAAAAAGAAGAGCUGCUAUAAGCCAA